CCUGUCAGGGGUGGCUGGCUGACGCUGGUGACUCAUUUGUGACUCACAGGUCUACUUUCCCCGUUUGCUACAAGUUUUCAAAUUAGGUCCUGGGAAAAGAUAUAUCAGCUUAUUGACCUGAGAUGCUUUUCUGAAACUCUCCACAACAGGAUUCUCACCUUCCUGUGUUGUUAUUAAAAAAUUUUUAAAACAAGACAACAAAAUGACAUUCCAUUAUCAGAUAUAUCUGAAACCAGUAACGUCCUUGGACUCAUCCUUGGACUCAUCCUUGGACUCUGCUCAGAAUGUGAUAGGACAGUGUGCCAAGGUGCACUGCAUCUAUUACCUCACUGGAUCCUCAUGCAAACUCAGAGGCAGGCAGCAACUCCAUUUAUAGACGAGAAAGAUGAACCCUCCAAAUUAUCUACCCUGGUUUCAAGUAGGCAGUUCACAACUCUGCACAUCUCCAGGUGAAUCACCUAUUUUCUUCUCUCUGGAUUUCUAUGUGCUGGGCAUAAAGAUUACUUCAAUCAAAAUGCAGUCAAUGCUGAGCCUCCCUUCAAAAACUGGAAAAGAAGAAACAUAACGAAAAAUAAAUCUCUGCAACACAAGAUAUAUGCUUCAGAAAAAAGAGAGAAAGGAUCAGAAAAACAGAAACAGAA